CACGCUGUAAACGAUGAGUACUAGGUGUCGGGGGUUACCCCCUUCGGUGCAGUAGCUAACGCAUUAAGUACUCCGCCUGGGAAGUACGCUCGCAAGAGAGAAACUCAAAGGAAUUGACGGGGACACGAACAAGUAGCGGAGCAUGUGGUUGAAUUCGAAGCAACGCGAAGAACCUUACCUACGCUUGACAUCCCAAUGACAUCUCAUUAAUCGGAGA
rnacentral:rRNA from 1 species